UACGUAGGGUGCAAGCGUUGCUCGGAAUCAUUGGGCGUAAAGCGCACGUAGGCGGUCUGAUAAGUCGGAUGUGAAAGCCCUCGGCUCAACCGAGGAAGUGCAUUCGAAACUGCCAGACUUGAAUAUGGAAGAGGGUCGCGGAAUUCCCGGUGUAGAGGUGAAAUUCGUAGAUAUCGGGAGGAACACCAGUGGCGAAGGCGGCGACCUGGGCCAAUAGUUGA
rnacentral:rRNA from 1 species